UACAGAGGGUGCAAGCGUUAAUCGGAAUUACUGGGCGUAAAGCGCGCGUAGGUGGUUUGUUAAGUUGGAUGUGAAAUCCCCGGGCUCAACCUGGGAACUGCAUCCAAAACUGGCAAGCUAGAGUAUGGUAGAGGGUGGUGGAAUUUCCUGUGUAGCGGUGAAAUGCGUAGAUAUAGGAAGGAACACCAGUGGCGAAGGCGACCACCUGGACUGAUACUGACGCUGAGGCGCGAAAGCGUGGGGAGCAAACAGG
rnacentral:rRNA from 1 species